GCAGCAACAACAAUAACAGAAGCAGAAGCAGCAGCAGCAGCAGCAACACUCACACACUCACACACACACACAUACGCGUUCGCUCACUCACGAAAAUUUCAAUAUCCAAAUCAAAGUUGAGUUCAAAUCGAAAACAGCCGCAAUACCAGCAACAACGUCUCGCAAAUAGCACGCGGAUAAUAAAAAACACACGCAGCAUAUCAAAUAGUCAAAAUUCGCCAAGUUCUGAAUAAGUAAACGAAAAUCAAAUCAAAUCAAAUCAAAUCAAAUGAAAUCAUAUCAAUCUUUAUGAACAGCUGCAAUCAAAAUAAAAUACAAAUAUUUCUAAAUGCAAUAUAAUUCAAUUCGAAAAUAUAAAAAUAAAUCAAAAUAAAAACAAAUCCGCAAACUUUUUCACACGGCUUUAUUUCGGUAAUUCUCGAGUUUUCACUUUACGUGUGUGCUAAUAGAAAUAAAAAUCGGAAAAUCUCAAAAUCUCAUGAUCUACGAACGCUAAAAAACUUGAACUUCUCUAAAUUGAUUUGAAACUUAGCCGCUAUCAGUGUAUCGCUAUUUUGUAUAUUCUGACACUUGACAACAACAAUAACAGCAACAACAACAACAACUACAGCCACAACAACCACAAGAUAGCCGUAAUUACAAGUAACCACACAACAACAACAACAACCACAACAAGAAACAUCUAUAAAUAAAACAAUCAACAUUUUAGCUACAAAAGUUACAAAAUAUUAAAACA